rnacentral:rRNA from 1 species
UACAGGGGAUGCGAGUGUUAUCCGGAAUUAUUGGGCGUAAAGGGUUUUUAGGUUGAUAUCUAAGUCGUUUAUUAAAGCAUUGAUCUUAAAUCAAUAACAGUAUACGAAACUAGAUAUCUAGAGUAUGGGGGAGGUAAAUUCAAUUUUCAGUGUAGCGGUAAAAUGCGUCGAUAUUGAAAGGAAAACCAAAGGCGAAAGCAAUUUACUAGAACAAUACUGACACUAAAGAACGAAAGCUAGGGGAGCAAAUGGG